UUAGAGAUAUAACACAAGGUAACUUCAGGUCACAGGGUUCACAUUUCAGCACGUGUCACUGACGCAGUCCACUGAUGCCAACUCAUUAAGAUACUGUUCAUUGAAAGUCAUGUGAGGAUAUAUCCUCCUUGAAAAUUUGGUCGCACUUGCCAAGAUGUCAACCCCAGCGGACAUAGGAAAGGCGGGACAAUUUUCUUACGACUUGAUAGAUGUGGAUGGAGUUCUUCACAUGGCCUUGAUUGCAGAGAGGUUAAGAACUAUGAAACAGCGUCCCCUCCGGCAAGAUGAUAUCUUACUGUGUACAUUCCCUAAGUCAGGUACACACUGGACGUGGGAGAUCAUCAACAUGAUCGUGGCAGGGAAGGCCGAGUACACCAAACACUGGCAGAACUCAGCCUACCUGGAAUACCGGACGGAGGAAGAACUGGAGACACUGGCAUCACCACGGGUCCUCCACACUCAUUUACUGCCACGGCAGCUGCCCGAAUCGGUGUGGAAGCUGGGAUGUUAGAUUGUGUUCGUCCAGAGGAACCCCAAGGACUGUGCUGUGUCCUGCUUUUGUCAAGACAGCAGCCAGGUCUGGAAGGACGACGCCAAAGACACGGUCGGCUUUACAGGGACAUGGGACGACUACCUAACCUGUUACCAGGAUGGUUACAUGGCGCAUGGAUCGAUAUUUAAUUACAUUCGUGAUUGGUGGAAAACGGCUGAACAAUACAGUAUAUGUCAUGUCCAGUAUAAAGACAUGAAACAGAAUUGUGUGAACGAGGUAAGAAGAAUGGCUGAAUAUCUUGACCGCCCUUUGCCGGAGAAAACGUACGUGGAAAUAGCAGAGGCGUGUUCUUUCAGCAAACUGAAACACGCCAACGAGAAGAUCAAGGACCAAACCUACCACUUCCAGUGGCAACAGGGAACAAGUGGAUACUUCA